rnacentral:misc_RNA from 1 species
GUGCCAUGAUGAGUGUGGAUGAGAAUUUAUUGUGUUCAUUCCAAAUAUUGAAACCUGUUGAUAAGAAGACAAAGUUUGGUUUUUGGAGCAUGGCUGCUUCUAGGCCUGGCCACGGUCCAACUAAAAUCGAGGUAUGUCUCAUUCCUUACUGCUCCAAAUAUAUAGAUUUUUAGAAGCUCUUCAAUUUUACUUGCCACAUAAAGUUACUUAGAGAAUUGGUUUUGCAUGAAACUUAGUCAUUGUCAUUUGUUAGUGUGGAUCUAAAUGGAGAGCACCAGUAUAAAAUAAAUGGGUCAAUUGCAUCCCUUCAGUCUGUGCAAUCACCCCACCCUUUUUUCACCUUUUUUUCCAUUUUUCCUUUUCUUUUUCUUCCCUUAAAAUUGAAGAACAAGGAUAGAAGGCUUCUAAUUAAAUAUAGCUUAGUGGCUUGCAGUUUGUAACAUGAAUAAAUUUUUUCUUGUCAUUGAAAUCAGCCCUGAGAGGUGAUGGGUACUGAAUCGAUUCUGAUAGUUUAUUUUCCAAAUAAUGCUUCUGUCUUGCUCAUCAUUCAUUCAUUCAUUCAUAUAUAUACUCUAGGUUAGAAGGUUAAAGUCUAGGAUGUCCAUGCCAGUUUCUAUAUAAAAGCUGAAACAUUAAGCACAGGAAACAUGUAAGUCAUUUAUCUAAUAUUGUCUGAGUAACAAGGUGCUUUACCACUGGUUACUUAUUUUUUCCCAUAAACAUCACCAAGAUUAAGAAAGCAGUCUUUUCCAUGCAUAUAAUCAUGUCAACAAAAUAUAAGCCAAUAUCCAUGUCAUACUCAGUUUGACACAUAAAUACAUGACGUAUGUAUUCGUGUAAGCAUCCUCAAACAUAGCUCAUUCUUUCUUAUGAAUUUUGGUCCUCAUUUCCUCCUGAAUUUCUCUGCCACUAAAAAUCUUCAGUUGGCAGUUCUGAUGCAUUGCUGUGUAUAGUUAAUACAUGAACUGCUUUCUUCAUACUGCAUUCUCUUAAUUCCUUUAUUUCCCUUCACAGCAUGUCAACAUCUGAUUCUUUCCAGUUCCCACCAUGCCACCACACUGUGUGAUGCAACUAAUUAUUGGUCCAGUUGCAUAUUUAGAUUCACCUUGAAAGAUUCCUUUCAUUGUUUUUUUUUUUUUUACUUUCCAUUCUUCUUUGCAAUGUUUCAUUCUGUUUUUCUUUUAGUUUGUGUUGGAUUUUUGGUAAGAACUCUAAAGUUGCUUUCCUACAUUGUGAUGUUCUCACUCUCCUAGUCCCUUGUGUCUUGAAUUGAAAUUCAAUGUAUAUAAAUGCAUUUUCUUUGUUUCAUCACUCCUAUGCUUUCUUUUUUUUUUUGGUUUACAAAGGAAGAGUGAAGGGGAGACUUCAUAAACUUGAGUUGGAGACGCACUUACUACCGGACUAAGCCUUCGGGUGUCACUCUUGACUUGUUUUUAAUUGCGUGCACAAGAUUUUCUUAAUAAUGUGUUCCAUUUUCCUUUUCUCAGUCGCUUUUAAAAGUGUAAGGAAUCUGAUCCCGUGGAGUGAUAUAUGAAGGAGCCAGCUGCCCUGGACAGUGACACGCAGAACAUUGCCAGUGUACCAAUCUAGGAAGAUCGUAGAUGGGCAACUUGGUUUAGGUAAAGAUAAUAUAGAGAAGUUCCUCCAUGAAAAUUUUAGGAGGCUGUAAUCUCUAUGGUUUGUUCAAUAUAGUUUGCCUGUUGCAACUCUGUUAUCAUCAUAUAAUAAUCAGAACAGAGUGAUUCAGUUCUCUGAUUCCCCUAAGCGCUGUCAUCAUCAUAUCAUAUGCAUAGUCUCG